rnacentral:rRNA from 1 species
GGAUUGAAAUAAAGUAACGAAGUCCGUGAGCCAUGCGUCAAGAAAAGCCGCUAUUGUUUAUACCGUACCCGUACCGUAAACCGACACAGGUGGAUGAGGAGAGAAUCCUAAGGCCGGCGGAAGAAGCAUUGUCAAGGAACUCGGCAAAAUGGCCCCGUAACUUAGGGAUAAGGGGUGCCUGGGAAACCAGGCCGCAGAGAAUAGGCUCAAGCAACUGUUUAGCAAAAACACAGGUCUAUGCGAAACCGAAAGGUGAGGUAUAUGGGCUGACGCCUGCCCGGUGCUGGAAGGUUAAGAGGAGAGGUUAGCGCAAGCGAAGCUUUGAAUUUAAGCCCCAGUAAACGGCGGCCGUAACAAUAACGGUCCUAAGGUAGCGAAAUUCCUUGUCGGGUAAGUUCCGACCCGCACGAAAGGCGUAAUGAUUUGAGCGCUGUCUCGACAAUGCAUCCGGUGAAAUUGAAGUACCAGUGAAGAUGCUGGUUACCUGCGCCAGGACGGAAAGACCCCAUGGAGCUUUACUCCAGUUUGGUACUGGGACUCGGUAUUGCAUGUACAGGAUAGGUGGGAGGCUAGGAGACAGUAACGCCAGUUAUUGUGGAGCCGCUGUUGGGAUACCACCCUUGCAGUAUUGGGUUUCUAACCAGCCGCCGUGACCCGGCGGUGGGACAAUGCCAGACGGGGAGUUUGACUGGGGCGGUCGCCUCCGAAAGGGUAUCGGAGGCGCCCAAAGGUUCCCUCAGAAUGGACGGAAACCAUUCGAAGAGUGCAAAGGCAGAAGGGAGCUUGACUGCGACACCGACGGGUGGAGCAGGUACGAAAGUAGGGCUUAGUGAUCCGGUGGUAUUAAGUGGGAAUGCCAUCGCUCAACGGAUAAAAGCUACCCUGGGAUAACAGGCUUAUCACUCCCAAGAGUUCACAUCGACGGAGUGGUUUGGCACCUCGAUGUCGGCUCAUCGCAUCCUGGGGCUGUAGUAGGUCCCAAGGGUUGGGCUGUUCGCCCAUUAAAGCGGUACGCGAGCUGGGUUCAGAAUGUCGUGAGACAGUUCGGUCCCUAUCCGGCGUGGGCGUAGGAUAUCUGAGAGGAGCUGUCCUUAGUACGAGAGGACCGGGAUGGACGGGCCGCUGGUGCAUCGGUUAGACUGCCAAGUCUACGGCCGAGUAGCCAAGCCCGGAAGGGAUAAACGCUGAAGGCAUCUAAGCGUGAAGCCCCCCUUAAGAUGAGAUAUCCCAUUCGAAAGAAGUAAACCCCCUUGAAGACGACGAGGUAGAUAGGGCAGAGGUGGAAGUGUGGCAACACAUGGAGCUGACUGUUACUAAUCGGGUGAGGGCUUGACCUG